ACACGACUACAUUAGAUACCCGGGUAGUCCUAGCCGUAAACGAUACUCGCUAGGUGUCGGCCACGGUGCGACCGUUGUCGGUGCCGUAGGGAAGCCGUGGAGCGAGCCACCUGGGAAGUACGGCCGCAAGGCUGAAACUUAAAGGAAUUGGCGGGGGAGCACAACAACGGGUGGAGCUUGCGGUUUAAUUGGAUUCAACGCCGGAAAUCUUACCGGGACCGACAGCAACAUGAAGGCCAAGCUGAAGACUUUGCCGGAUUAGCUG
rnacentral:rRNA from 1 species